rnacentral:rRNA from 1 species
GAAUAUUGGACAAUGGGCGCAAGCCUGAUCCAGCAAUGCCGCGUGUGUGAUGAAGGCCUUAGGGUUGUAAAACACUUUCGCCGAUGACGAUGAUGACGGUAGUCGGAUAAGAAGCCCCGGCUAACUCCGUGCCAGCAGCCGCGGUAAUACGGAGGGGGCGAGCGUUGUUCGGGAUUACUGGGCGUAAAGGGCGCGUAGGCGGUGACGUUAGUCGGGCGUGAAAGCCCCGGGCUCAACCUGGGAGGUGCGUUCGAUACUGCGUUGCUUGAGAGCGGAAGAGGGUAGUGGAAUUCCCAGUGUAGAGGUGAAAUUCGUAGAUAUUGGGAAGAACACCAGUGGCGAAGGCGGCUACCUGGUCCGUUUCUGACGCUGAGGCGCGAAAGCGUGGGGAGCAAACAGG